rnacentral:snRNA from 1 species
GUGAUCACUUCAGUAGCUCCUGCACCAAAACU